ANCUCGAAAUAUAUAGGACGUCCAACUUAACUUGGAGUCCGAACUCUCACUUUCUAACCCUGUGCAUUUGUUUGGGAUAGUAACUCUCGCAAGAGGGCGAACUCCUAUUCACUUAUAAACACAAAGUCUAUGAAUGUAUUAAAUUUUAUAACAAAAUAAAACUUUCAACAACGGAUCUCUUGGCUCUCGCAUCGAUGAAGAACGCAGCGAAAUGCCAUAAGUAAUGUGAAUUGCAGAAUUCAGUGAAUCAUCGAAUCUUUGAACGCACCUUGCGCUCCAUGGUAUUCCGUGGAGCAUGCCUGUUUGAGUGUCAUGAAUACUUCAACCCUCCUCUUUCUUAAUGAUUGAAGAGGUGUUUGGUUUCUGAGCGCUGCUGGCCUUUAGGGUCUAGCUCGUUCGUAAUGCAUUAGCAUCCGCAAUCGAACUUCGGAUUGACUUGGCGUAAUAGACUAUUCGCUGGAGGAAUUCUAGUCUUCGGACUAGAGCCGGGUUGGGUUAAAGGAAGCUUCUAAUCAGAAUGUCUACAUUUUAAGAUUAGAUCUCAAAUCAGGUAGGACUA
rnacentral:rRNA from 1 species